AGAGUUUGAUCAUGGCUCAGGAUGAACGCUGGCGAGAUGCUUUACACAUGCAAGUCGUACGAGAGUUUGAAACUCAAGUGGCGGACGGGUGAGUAACACGUAAGAAUUUGCCUUUAGGAGGGGGAUUAAUACCCCAUAUGCUUUCGAGUGAAAUGGAUUUUUCCGCCUAGAGAGAAGCUUGCGGCUGAUUAGCUUGUUGGUGAGGUAAUGGCUUACCAAGGCGACGAUCAGUAUCUGGUUUGAGAGGACGAUCAGACACACUGGAACUGAGACACGGUCCAGACUCCUACGGGAGGCAGCAGUGGGGAAUUUUCCGCAAUGGGCGAAAGCCUGACGGAGCAAUCUCGCGUGAGGGAUGACUGCCUAUGGGUUGUAAACCUCUUUUUUCAGGGAGGAAUCAAUGACGUGUACCUGAAGAAUAAGCAUCGGCUAACUCCGUGCCAGCAGCCGCGGUAAGACGGAGGAUGCAAGUGUUAUCCGGAAUCACUGGGCGUAAAGCGUCUGUAGGUGGUUUAAUAAGUCAACUGUUAAAUCUUGAAGCUCAACUUCAAAAUCGGAGUCGAAACUAUUAGACUAGAGUAUAGUAGGGGUAAAGGGAAUUUCCAGUGGAGCGGUGAAAUGCGUAGAGAUUGGAAAGAACACCGAUGGCGAAGGCACUUUACUGGGCUAUUACUGACACUCAGAGACGAAAGCUAGGGUAGCAAAUGGGAUUAGAUACCCCAGUAGUCCUAGCCGUAAACAAUGGAUACUAGAUGUUGAACAGAUCGACCUGUGCAGU
rnacentral:rRNA from 1 species